rnacentral:rRNA from 1 species
GGGUUGUGAGGUUAAGCGACUAAGCGUACACGGUGGAUGCCCUGGCAGUCAGAGGCGAUGAAGGACGUGCUAAUCUGCGAUAAGCGUCGGUAAGGUGAUAUGAACCGUUAUAACCGGCGAUUUCCGAAUGGGGAAACCCAGUGUGAUUCGUCACACUAUCAUUAACUGAAUCCAUAGGUUAAUGAGGCGAACCGGGGGAACUGAAACAUCUAAGUACCCCGAGGAAAAGAAAUCAACCGAGAUUCCCCCAGUAGCGGCGAGCGAACGGGGAGGAGCCCAGAGCCUGAAUCAGUGUGUGUGUUAGUGGAAGCGUCUGGAAAGGCGCGCGAUACAGGGUGACAGCCCCGUACACAAAAAUGCACAUGCUGUGAGCUCGAUGAGUAGGGCGGGACACGUGGUAUCCUGUCUGAAUAUGGGGGGACCAUCCUCCAAGGCUAAAUACUCCUGACUGACCGAUAGUGAACCAGUACCGUGAGGGAAAGGCGAAAAGAACCCCGGCGAGGGGAGUGAAAAAGAACCUGAAACCGUGUACGUACAAGCAGUGGGAGCACAGAGCAAUCUGUGUGACUGCGUACCUUUUGUAUAAUGGGUCAGCGACUUAUAUUCUGUAGCAAGGUUAACCGAAUAGGGGAGCCGAAGGGAAACCGAGUCUUAACCGGGCGUUAAGUUGCAGGGUAUAGACCCGAAACCCGGUGAUCUAGCCAUGGGCAGGUUGAAGGUUGGGUAACACUAACUGGAGGACCGAACCGACUAAUGUUGAAAAAUUAGCGGAUGACUUGUGGCUGGGGGUGAAAGGCCAAUCAAACCGGGAGAUAGCUGGUUCUCCCCGAAAGCUAUUUAGGUAGCGCCUCGUGAAUUCAUCUCCGGGGGUAGAGCACUGUUUCGGCAAGGGGGUCAUCCCGACUUACCAACCCGAUGCAAACUGCGAAUACCGGAGAAUGUUAUCACGGGAGACACACGGCGGGUGCUAACGUCCGUCGUGAAGAGGGAAACAACCCAGACCGCCAGCUAAGGUCCCAAAGUCAUGGUUAAGUGGGAAACGAUGUGGGAAGGCCCAGACAGCCAGGAUGUUGGCUUAGAAGCAGCCAUCAUUUAAAGAAAGCGUAAUAGCUCACUGGUCGAGUCGGCCUGCGCGGAAGAUGUAACGGGGCUAAACCAUGCACCGAAGCUGCGGCAGCGACACUGUGUGUUGUUGGGUAGGGGAGCGU